UGGGGAAUAUUGGACAAUGGGCGCAAGCCUGAUCCAGCCAUGCCGCGUGAGUGAUGAAGGCCCUAGGGUUGUAAAGCUCUUUCAGCGAGGAGGAUAAUGACGUUACUCGCAGAAGAAGCCCCGGCUAACUUCGUGCCAGCAGCCGCGGUAAUACGAAGGGGGCUAGCGUUGUUCGGAAUCACUGGGCGUAAAGCGCACGUAGGCGGACUUUUAAGUCAGGGGUGAAAUCCCGGGGCUCAACCUCGGAACUGCCUUUGAUACUGGAAGUCUGGAGUCCGAGAGAGGUGAGUGGAACUCCGAGUGUAGAGGUGAAAUUCGUAGAUAUUCGGAAGAACACCAGUGGCGAAGGCGGCUCACUGGCUCGGUACUGACGCUGAGGUGCGAAAGCGUGGGGAGCAAACAGGAUUAGAUACCCCGGUAGUCCACGCCGUAAACGAUGGAAGCUAGCCGUCAGGGUGCAUGCAUCUUGGUGGCGCAGUUAACGCAUUAAGCUUCCCGCCUGGGGAGUACGGUCGCAAGAUUAAAACUCAAAUGAAUUGACGGGGUCAUAGCUGUUUCCU
rnacentral:rRNA from 1 species